AAAGAAGCAGAGGGGGCUUAGUGGUGGGGUGACUGCGUACCUUUUGUAUAAUGGGUCAGCGACUUAUAUUCUGUAGCAAGGUUAACCGUAUAGGGGAGCCGGAGGGAAACCGAGUCUUAACCGGGCGUUAAGUUGCAGGGUAUAGACCCGAAACCCGGUGAUCUAGCCAUGGGCAGGUUGAAGGUUGGGUAACACUAACUGGAGGACCGAACCGACUAAUGUUGAAAAAUUAGCGGAUGACCUGUGGCUGGGGGUGAAAGGCCAAUCAAACCGGGAGAUAGCUGGUUCUCCCCGAAAGCUAUUUAGGUAGCGCCUCGUGAAUUCAUCUCCGGGGGUAGAGCACUGUUUCGGCUAGGGGGCCAUCCCGGCUUACCAACCCGAUGCAAACUGCGAAUACCGGAGAAUGUUAUCACGGGAGACACACGGCGGGUGCUAACGUCCGUCGUGAAGAGGGAAACAACCCAGACCGCCAGCUAAGGUCCCAAAGUCAUGGUUAAGUGGGAAACGAUGUGGGAAGGCCCAGACAGCCAGGAUGUUGGCUUAGAAGCAGCCAUCAUUUAAAGAAAGCGUAAUAGCUCACUGGUCGAGUCGGCCUGCGCGGAAGAUGUAACGGGGCUAAACCAUG
rnacentral:rRNA from 1 species